rnacentral:misc_RNA from 1 species
AGUUGGUUAGAGCGCGCGCUUGAUAAGCGUGAGGUCGGAAGUUCAAGUCUUCCCAGGCCCACCAUUUUGAUCGAGUGCGGAGCAUUCGUCUUCUGGUACGGGGCCAUAGCUCAGCUGGGAGAGCGCGUGCUUUGCAAGCAUGAGGUCGUCGGUUCGAUCCCGUCUGGCUCCACCAGAUGGAAUUGAAGCUCGAGAAUGCCUCGUCAAAUUCGUCCGCGAAACAUCACUUCGCACUCAUUGGUCCGGAUGGACGGUGACGUGCGUGUUUUCUGACAUCGUAAAGAGGAGAUCGAUCCGAGUUUGGAUCUGCGAAGCAAUUCGCGGGUACCAUUCCUAAUCUCCAGAUCGUUUUCGGCGCUCGUUCAUCGCUACUCAUCGCAAGAUGAGUGAGAUGAGUGAGUUGUAAAACGAUCUUUGUAGCGAAGCUUGACCGCCUCGCUAUCGGGCCGAUCUUACGAAGCAAGCUGGUCUUUCUAGUCAAUGUCCGGCUGUGCAAUCGCAUUCAUCGAGGAUGCGCGCCUGGGACUUCGGUCUUUGGGCAAUUACACAGACAACAUUCUGCCGAGUGUGUGGACAUUGAUAAUGAGAGCAAUCAAGUGCCUUAAGGGUGUUCGGUGGAUGCCUUGGCGCUGAGAGGCGAUGAAGGACGUGCUACGCUGCGAUAAG